rnacentral:rRNA from 1 species
AGUUUGAUCCUGGCUCAGAACGAACGCUGGCGGCAGGCUUAACACAUGCAAGUCGAGCGCCCCCUCGGGGGAGCGGCAGACGGGUGAGUAAUGCAUGGGAAUCUACCUGGCUCUACGGAAUAACUCAGGGAAACUUGAACUAAUACCGUAUACGUCCCUCGGGAGAAAGAUUUAUCGGAGUUAGAUGAGCCCAUGUCUGAUUAGCUAGUUGGUGAGGUAAAGGCUCACCAAGGCGACGAUCAGUAGCUGGUCUGAGAGGAUGAUCAGCCACACUGGGACUGAGACACGGGCSGGACUCCUACGGGAGGCAGCAGUGGGGAAUAUUGGACAAUGGGCGCAAGCCUGAUCCAGCCAUGCCGCGUGAGUGAUGAAGGCCCUAGGGUUGUAAAGCUCUUUCACCGGUGAAGAUAAUGACGGUAACCGGAGAAGAAGCCCCGGCUAACUUCGUGCCAGCAGCCGCGGUAAUACGAAGGGGGCUAGCGUUGUUCGGAAUUACUGGGCGUAAAGCGCGCGUAGGCGGAUCGGUCAGUUAGGGGUGAAAUCCCGGGGCUCAACCCCCGGAACUGCCUCUAAUACUGCCGAUCUAGAGUUCGAGAGAGGUGAGUGGAAUUCCGAGUGUAGAGGUGAAAUUCGUAGAUAUUCGGAGGAACACCAGUGGCGAAGGCGCUACUGGUCGAUACUGANGCUGAGGUGCGAAA